GAUGCUCACUUUGGCAACACAUACUGAAAUAGAAAUGAUAUGGCGAAAAUUAGUGUGGCCCCUGUGCAAGGAUAAAACACAAAUUCUUGAAGCAUUCUAUAUUUUU